UACGGAGGGGGCGAGCGUUAUUCGGAAUUAUUGGGCGUAAAGGGCGCGUAGGCGGCCCGGUAAGUCAAAGGUGAAAUCCCUCGGCUCAACUGAGGAACUGCCUUUGAAACUGUCGGGCUUGAGGCCGGGAGGGGGUAGCGGAAUUCCCAGUGUAGCGGUGAAAUGCGUAGAUAUCGGGAGGAACAUCAGUGGCGAAGGCGGCCUUCUGGUCCAGUACUGACACUCAAGUGCGAAAGCGUGGGGAGCAAACAGG
rnacentral:rRNA from 1 species